GUCCCUCUCCUUGAGCAUUGUCAGAGAGAGCAAUUCUGUGCCCAGCCUGAGUCGUCUCUCUGCCUGUACGCAGCCAGCAGCGCC
rnacentral:miRNA from 1 species